AGAGUUUGAUCCUGGCUCAGAUUGAACGCUGGCGGAAUGCUUUACACAUGCAAGUCGAACGGCAGCACGGGGCAACCUGGUGGCGAGUGGCGAACGGGUGAGUAAUAUAUCGGAACGUGCCCAAUCGUGGGGGAUAACGUAGCGAAAGUUACGCUAAUACCGCAUACGAUCUACGGAUGAAAGCGGGGGAUCGCAAGACCUCGCGCGAAUGGAGCGGCCGAUAUCAGAUUAGGUAGUUGGUGGGGUAAAGGCUCACCAAGCCAACGAUCUGUAGCUGGUCUGAGAGGACGACCAGCCACACUGGAACUGAGACACGGUCCAGACUCCUACGGGAGGCAGCAGUGGGGAAUUUUGGACAAUGGGCGCAAGCCUGAUCCAGCCAUUCCGCGUGCAGGAUGAAGGCCUUCGGGUUGUAAACUGCUUUUGUACGGAACGAAACGGUCUGCCCUAAUACGGUGGGCUAAUGACGGUACCGUAAGAAUAAGCACCGGCUAACUACGUGCCAGCAGCCGCGGUAAUACGUAGGGUGCAAGCGUUAAUCGGAAUUACUGGGCGUAAAGCGUGCGCAGGCGGUUAUAUAAGACAGAUGUGAAAUCCCCGGGCUCAACCUGGGAACUGCAUUUGUGACUGUAUAGCUAGAGUACGGCAGAGGGGGAUGGAAUUCCGCGUGUAGCAGUGAAAUGCGUAGAUAUGCGGAGGAACACCGAUGGCGAAGGCAAUCCCCUGGGCCUGUACUGACGCUCAUGCACGAAAGCGUGGGGAGCAAACAGGAUUAGAUACCCUGGUAGUCCACGCCCUAAACGAUGUCAACUGGUUGUUGGGUCUUCACUGACUCAGUAACGAAGCUAACGCGUGAAGUUGACCGCCUGGGGAGUACGGCCGCAAGGUUAAACUCAAAGGAAUUGACGGGGACCCGC
rnacentral:rRNA from 1 species